AUCCAGCCGACGAGUCUCAAAUAGGAUGAAACGCUCGACCUGGAU
rfam:Schistosoma mattheei strain Denwood, Zambia genome assembly, scaffold: SMTD_scaffold0000601